UACGGAAGGCAGCAGUGGGGAAUAUUGCACAAUGGGCGAAAGCCUGAUGCAGCUAUGCCGCGUGUAUGAAGAAGGCCUUAGGGUUGUAAAGUACUUUCAUCGGGGAGGAAAAACAAAACUAAUAAUUUUAUUUCUUGACGUUACCCGAAAAAGAAGCACCGGCUAACUCCGUGCCAGCAGCCGCGGUAAUACGGAGGGUGCGAGCGUUAAUCGGAAUUACUGGGCGUAAAGGGCACGCAGGCGGUUAAUUAAGUUGGAUGUGAAAUCCCCGGGCUUAACCUGGGAAUGGCAUUCAAGACUGGUUAGCUAGAGUCUUGUAGAGGGGGUAGAAUUCCAUGUGUAGCGGUGAAAUGCGUAGAGAUGUGGAGGAAUACCGGUGGCGAAGGCGGCCCCUGGACAAAGACUGACGCUCAUGUGCGAAAGCGUGGGGAGCAAACAGGGAUUAGAUACC
rnacentral:rRNA from 1 species